UGGGGAAUAUUGGACAAUGGGCGAAAGCCUGAUCCAGCGACGCCGCGUGGGUGAAGAAGGCCUGCGGGUUGUAAAGCCCUUUCAGUGGGGAAGAAAAGCCUCGACCUAACACGUCGGGGUCUUGACGUAACCCAUAGAAGAAGCACCGGCUAACUCUGUGCCAGCAGCCGCGGUAAUACAGAGGGUGCGAGCGUUAAUCGGAAUUACUGGGCGUAAAGCGCGCGUAGGCGGCUUUGCAAGUCGGGUGUGAAAUCCCCAGGCUCAACCUGGGAACUGCAUUCGAGACUGCAUUGCUAGAGUAUGGGAGAGGGAAGUGGAAUUUCAGGUGUAGCGGUGAAAUGCGUAGAUAUCUGAAGGAACAUCAGUGGCGAAAGCGACUUCCUGGACCAAUACUGACGCUCAUGUGCGAAAGCGUGGGGAGCAAACA
rnacentral:rRNA from 1 species